CUCGAGCCGUUUUAACUUUUUUAGUAUGCCACAGUGGCGGUCUGUAUACGAAACUAUUACAGUAACGAAUUUGAAACGAAUCGGUUUAUGUUUACAAUAUCGUAGUGUAUUCCGGUCUGCGCUGAUUGGUUGUUAUUAAUUGACCUGUGACAUCAUAAUUGAAGGGUGGCACGCAAUCAUCAUAGGGAUCCUUGCAGGCUCUCUUUCCCCAGAGAGCCUGCUCGCAGGCUAUCUAAACUUUUGUCA